AGAUCACCGCCAUCCAGCAUCUCUGUCACGGCAGAAGGUGGUGAUACUUGCUCUGACAGCAACACUAUUUAAAAGCUUAUCCAGGUGCUCACCUCUGACACCUCUGGCUGCAAUCCAGCAUUACACCCCCUUUUCAUAGGGGCGACAUAUACGCUUUGCGCACCUGCGUGACAACCUUGGGCUUGCUUGGAAGAGAGGGAGGUUUCCUGCCCGACUGUGUGCCCCUAUUUUCCUCUUUAAUGGGCCUUUUGUGCCACUGCUUUGACGUUUGCCGGCUCUGUCAUGAGUUCAUACAUAUGGUGACGGUGUGACCCCUAUAUGGACACUGGCACCUGAUGAAGUUACAAAGUCUCGAAACGCGUUGGGCCUGAAUGAACCCCUGUGGACUAGUCAGACACCUACCUAUGAACUUUGUUUUUAACAUUUAUAUUUUUGUAUUUAUUGUAUAAAUAAACUUUUAUUGUUAUUAUUA